UACGUAGGGUGCAAGCGUUAAUCGGAAUUACUGGGCGUAAAGCGUGCGCAGGCGGUUUUGUAAGUCUGACGUGAAAUCCCCGGGCUUAACCUGGGAAUUGCGAUGGAGACUGCAAGGCUGGAGUCUGGCAGAGGGGGGUAGAAUUCCACGUGUAGCAGUGAAAUGCGUAGAGAUGUGGAGGAACACCGAUGGCGAAGGCAGCCCCCUGGGUCAAGACUGACGCUCAUGCACGAAAGCGUGGGGAGCAAACAGG
rnacentral:rRNA from 1 species